ACGGGAGGCAGCCGUGGGGAAUAUUGCACAAUGAGCGCAAGCCUGAUGCAGCGAUGCCGCGUGAGGGAAGAAGGUUUUCGGAUUGUAAACCUCUGUCAUCGGGGACGAUAAUGACUGUACCCGAGAAGGAAGCUCCGGCUAACUACGUGCCAGCAGCCGCGGUAAUACGUAGGGAGCGAGCGUUAUCCGGAAUUACUGGGUGUAAAGGGAGUGUAGGCGGGACUGUAAGUCAGAUGUGAAAUAUGCCGGCUCAACUGGCAGACUGCAUUUGAAACUGCGGUUCUUGAGUGAAGUAGAGGUAAGCGGAAUUCCUAGUGUAGCGGUGAAAUGCGUAGAUAUUGGGAGGAACACCAGUGGCGAAGGCGGCCUGCUGGGCUUUAACUGACGCUGAGGCACGAAAGUAUGGGGAGCAAACAGGAUUAGAUACCCUGGUA
rnacentral:rRNA from 1 species